GAUGAACGCUGGCGGCGUGCCUAAUACAUGCAAGUCGAGCGAACGGACGAGAAGCUUGCUUCUCUGAUGUUAGCGGCGGACGGGUGAGUAACACGUGGAUAACCUACCUAUAAGACUGGGAUAACUUCGGGAAACCGGAGCUAAUACCGGAUAAUAUUUUGAACCGCAUGGUUCAAAAGUGAAAGACGGUCUUGCUGUCACUUAUAGAUGGAUCCGCGCUGCAUUAGCUAGUUGGUAAGGUAACGGCUUACCAAGGCAACGAUGCAUAGCCGACCUGAGAGGGUGAUCGGCCACACUGGAACUGAGACACGGUCCAGACUCCUACGGGAGGCAGCAGUAGGGAAUCUUCCGCAAAGGGCGAAAGCCUGACGGAGCAACGCCGCGUGAGUGAUGAAGGUCUUCGGAUCGUAAAACUCUGUUAUUAGGGAAGAACAUAUGUGUAGGUAACUGUGCACAUCUUGACGGUACCUAAUCAGAAAGCCACGGCUAACUACGUG
rnacentral:rRNA from 1 species